rnacentral:lncRNA from 1 species
UUAAUUUCACAACUUCCAACUGAGAUGUUUCUGCUACUGUCGCGUCAUAAAUCCUCUGCUCAAACUUAAAGAUUCAAUCAAUUCAGAUAAGCACACCCAAAUUUAUACUAAAACCCCGUAAAAUUCAAAUGGCAAUGUACAUUUAUCCAGAUGCAAAGGAUGUGAUUCAAGACUAAAACCCAAUCUUAUUAAACAACAACCCCAACUGAUUAAAAUUUGAUCAAUGUAAGCAAUGCACAAAUGAUUUCAAUUAAGUCAGCUCUGCACACAUGAAUCACAACAAAUCUAGCACCUACCGUUUAUCAAUUGCAAGUUGUGAUUAAAAGAAGAAAGACAUUCAGAUUUGUAUCAAUCAAACAGGACAAAAUUGAAUCUGGAUCCUUACAAAGUUCACAUCAAACAAAGAAUGACUUUUUCAUGCAAUGAUAACUGGAUGCACAAAACUGAUUAUGACAAGAGCAACUUUUUCCAGCAAGUUAGUGAAUUAAACUGACAGAGAUAAUGGACCAAACUUCUCAAGAACAAUAUUCUAAACUAAUUCAGAAAUUAGUGUAACAUGCUAAUCAACUCAAUGUACAGAGAAUAAAGUGAAGCAAGUCAGGAUUCAGUGCAGAUUUCAACAAUUUAAUCAGAUCACAAGAUCANCAAUCAUAUUCAUAACAGUGAGUAUAUCAAUGAAUUCAACAAGCAAUGUUUGAAACGAAAUGAGUGCAAGGACAGUUUAAACAUUCACAGGCACAACAAUCAGCUUAAACAAAAAAAAUGACGACAGUUGCAGUUUAAACAGAUUCAGAUGCGCCAAUCUGAUCAUUCAAAAUCAUGUUCCUGCACAGUGAACAAUCUCAAAUCAGUUAGAACUAAA